rnacentral:rRNA from 1 species
GAUGAACGCUGGCGGCGUGCCUAAUACAUGCAAGUCGAGCGAAUGGAUUAAGAGCUUGCUCUUAUGAAGUUAGCGGCGGACGGGUGAGUAACACGUGGGUAACCUGCCCAUAAGACUGGGAUGACUCCGGGAAACCGGGGCUAAUACCGGAUAACAUUUUGAACCGCAUGGUUCGAAAUUGAAAGGCGGCUUCGGCUGUCACUUAUGGAUGGACCCGCGUCGCACUAGCUAGUUGGUGAGGUAACGGCUAACCAAGGCCACGAUGCGUAGCCGACCUGAGAGGGUGAUCGGCCACACUGGGACUGAGACACGGCCCAGACUCCUACGGGAGGCAGCAGUAGGGAAGCUUCCGCAAUGGACGAAAGUCUGACGGAGCAACGCCGCGUGAGUGAUGAAGGCUUUCGGGUCGUAAAACUCUGUUGUUAGGGAAGAACAAGUGCUAGUUGAAUAAGCUGGCACCUUGACGGUACCUAACCAGAAAGCCACGGCUAACUACGUGCCAGCCGCCGCAGUAC